rnacentral:rRNA from 1 species
UGCCUACGGGAGGCAGCAGUCGGGAAUAUUGCGCAAUGGAGGAAACUCUGACGCAGUGACGCCGCGUAUAGGAAGAAGGUUUUCGGAUUGUAAACUAUUGUCAUCAGGGAAGAUAAAAGACAGUACCUGAGGAGGAAGCUCCGGCUAACUAUGUGCCAGCAGCCGCGGUAAUACGGAGGAUGCGAGCGUUAUCCGGAUUUAUUGGGUUUUAAGGGUGCGCAGGCGGAAGAUCAAGUCAGCGGUAAAAUUGAGAGGCUCAACCUCUUCGAGCCGUUGAAACUGGUGUUCUUGAGUGAGCGAGAAGU